GGGAAACCGAGUAUGAUGCGAGGCUGGCUGGUUUCUCAAAGUAUCAGGAUCUCAAUGAAACAACGGGCAAGUUUGGACUGCACCUGAGCUUCGCCACAUCCGCCGUUGAAGUAUUUCUGUAUCAGCCGGAAAUG
rnacentral:lncRNA from 1 species